rnacentral:tRNA from 1 species
CAGAAAAUAGUUUAACUUUAGAAUUCUGGCUUUGGGAGCCAGGGGUGGGAGUUAAAAUCUCCUUUUUCUGG